GCAUGUGAUGACAUAAAUAUUCUUCACUUUGACCUGAUUCUAGUGAUGAUCACCUUCAGUCUGAGC